AUUUUACUUUUACACUUUGUUUGAUACCAUAAUUCAACUUUACCAUCACUCUAGAGACAUUUUCAUAAAUACCUAAAUCAUUAAUGGCCAAAUGACUAAACUAACCUUUUUCAAUUUAUCUCUGAUUUUUCCAAUCUCGUCUUCUUCGUCAAGCUUCGGUGCCAUCUUCAUCGAGUCUCGCCGUCGCCGUAUUCAAGAGGCGGCGCUGCUGCUCCUUCCUCCUGAACAGUGUUCUCUCUCCUCUUAUCUCUCAGCUCCGAUGAAUUCUCCCUCCAGCUCCCGCGAUGACGCGUCUUCAGCAAAUCCCGAUGGUGUCCUUCCUGCUUUCUUCUUCUGCACCGACGACUCAGACAGCUCAGCUCAACCAUGGCGUUCACCUAAGUUUGAAGAAUCCCUCAGUUGCACGUGGUAAUUCUCUUGGUUUGAUGUCUCCAGACCCUCCCGAACCACCAGAUCCGCCGGAUUUGGGAUCUGUCAUGGUGGAAUCAAAUCUUGUGACAGUCUCCUUUGAGUAUGAUCUUUCAUCUUCUAUGUAUGGCCUUGAUUUGCUUUAGGUUACAAUGGGGAUGGACUUGAGGGUUGUUCCGGCAGAGGAGUGGUGGGAAGAAUGAGGGAGAGAUUCUAGCCUCGAUGGUGAAAGUGACCUAGGCCUUAUGGUUACGGAUUUUCUCGAGAUGGGAGGUGGUGGAAGCGGUGGUGACCUAGGCCUUAUGGUUACGGAUUUUCCGGAUCCUUCUUACCUUUCCGAUAAGAUUCAGAAUAAACGUACAGCAAAGAACAUCAUUGAUUUUGUCAUCUGUACAUAGUUGCUAAUCACAUUCCAAUGGAUAGCACUUGCCUAGAGAAUUGUUUCCAGUGUGCUCUCUUCUGAUGCUUAUAAUGUUCUUGCAACUUCACACCCCUUUGUGGCUGAGGAUUUCCUCACAAUUUCAAGGCUCAUCAAAAUGGUGUAUGAUCACCUUUGUAGCCAAGUUUCUUGCUGCUCUUUAUGCCUUUAUUACUGCAGCAUGUUCGGGUAGCAGUUCACCGAGUGUCUCCUCUGAUUCCCGUGGCUUCAUCUCACCAAUUAGCAUUUUGUGAUGUUUCAAUUUUAAGUUGCUUAAGUGUUUUGUUUGCCUUUAUCUGUGUUUAUGUUAUCUGCUUAGCCUUUGAUGCAACAGUUUCCUUCUGUCA